UACGUAGGGUGCGAGCGUUAAUCGGAAUUACUGGGCGUAAAGCGUGCGCAGGCGGUUCGUUAUGUCCGAUGUGAAAGCCCCGAGCUUAACUUGGGAAUGGCAUUGGAAACUGGCGGGCUGGAGUGCGGCAGAGGGGGGUGGAAUUCCACGUGUAGCAGUGAAAUGCGUAGAGAUGUGGAGGAACACCGAUGGCGAAGGCAGCCCCCUGGGCCGACACUGACGCUGAGGAGCGAAAGCGUGGGUAGCAAACAGG
rnacentral:rRNA from 1 species